CUUAAGUCGAGGCCGAAAGGCGUAGAUGAUGGGAAGCAGGUUAAUAUUCCUGCACCAUGAAGGCUGGCGUUGAAGUGAGCAGGGACGGAGAAGGAUAUGCCGGACCACCCGUUUGGUCGUGGUGGUUCAAGCGCGUAGGCGGAUCCCGUUGGAGGCGACAGCCACAAACGCGGGGUCAACGCCGAGACGUGAUGAGGUGAGUCUUCGGACUCGGAACCCGGUGAUUCCAUGCUUCCAAGAAAAGCUGCGCACAGAGCCACUUUCGUGACCGUACCGCAAACCGACUCAGGUGGGCGGGGUGAGUAUCCCAAGGCGCGUGAGAGAACGCUGGCUAAGGAACUCGGCAAAAUAGCACCGUAACUUCGGGAGAAGGUGUGCCCGCCGACGUGAUGGAACUUGCUUCCUGAGCGUUGGCGGGUCGCAGUGAAAUGGGGGUUGCGACUGUUUACUAAAAACACAGGACUGUGCGAACUCGUAAGAGGACGUAUACGGUCUGACGCCUGCCCGGUGCUGGAAGGUUAAGGGGAGAGGUUAGCGCAAGCGAAGCUUCGAACCGAAGCCCCAGUAAACGGCGGCCGUAACGAUAACGGUCCUAAGGUAGCAAAAUUCCUUGUCGGGUAAGUUCCGACCUGCACGAGGGCGUAACGACAUCCCUACUGUCUCGGCCAGCGACUCAGCGAAAUUGUAUCGGGGGUGAAGAUACCCUCUACCCGCGGCAAGACGGAAAGACCCCAUGAACCUUUACUGCAACUUGGCAGUGAGGUUCGGAACAGUCUGCGUAGGAUAGGUAGGAGGCUUUGAAGUCGGGAUUCCGGUCUCGAUGGAGCCGUCGUUGAAAUACUACCCUGGCUUUUCUGGACUUCUAACCUAGGCCCCUCAACGGGGUCGGGGACACUGCCUGGUGGGCAGUUUGACUGGGGCGGUCGCCUCCCAAACAGUAACGGAGGCGCGCGAAGGUACCCUCAGGCUGAUUGGAAACCAGCCGGCGAGUGCAAUGGCACAAGGGUGCUUAACUGUGAGAGGGACACCUCGAGCAGGUGCGAAAGCAGGCCAUAGUGAUCCGGUGGUCCCGCAUGGAAGGGCCAUCGCUCAUCGGACAAAAGGUACUCUGGGGAUAACAGGCUGAUCGCGCCUGAGAGUCCAUAUCGGCGGCGCGGUUUGGCACCUUGAUGUCGGCUCAUCGCAUCCUGGGGCUGGAGCAGGUCCCAAGGGUUUGGCUGUUCGCCAAUUAAAGCGGUACACGAGCUGGGUUUAGAACGUCGUGAGACAGUUCGGUCCCUAUCUGCCGUGGGCGCAGGAUACUUGAGAGGAGCUGUUCAUAGUACC
rnacentral:rRNA from 1 species